UACGUAGGGUGCAAGCGUUGUCCGGAAUUAUUGGGCGUAAAGAGCUCGUAGGCGGUUUGUCGCGUCUGCUGUGAAAACUCAGGGCUUAACUCUGAGCUUGCAGUGGGUACGGGCAGACUAGAGUGCGGUAGGGGAGACUGGAAUUCCUGGUGUAGCGGUGAAAUGCGCAGAUAUCAGGAGGAACACCGGUGGCGAAGGCGGGUCUCUGGGCCGUAACUGACGCUGAGGAGCGAAAGCCAGGGGAGCAAACGGG
rnacentral:rRNA from 1 species